AAUAUUUAUUGGAGGGCAAGUCUGGUGCCAGCAGCCGCGGUAAUUCCAGCUCCAAGAGCGUAUAUUAAAGUUGUUGCAGUUAAAAAGCUCGUAGUUGAACCUUGGGUUUUGGAGGGAGGUCCACCUCACGGUGAGUACUUCCAUAUCCAAGACCUUUCCUCUGCUUCCUCGCAAGAGGCAGCAGAAUAUUACUUUGAGUAAAUGAGAGUGUUCAAAGCAGGCGCACGCUUGAAUCUGUUAGCAUGGAAUAAUAGAAUAGGACGCAUGGUUCUAUUUUGUUGGUUUCUAGGACCAUCGUAAUGAUUAAUAGGGACGGUCGGGGGCAUCAGUAUUCAGUUGUCAGAGGUGAAAUUCUUGGAUUUACUGAAGACUAACUACUGCGAAAGCAUUUGCCAAGGACGUUUUCAUUAAUCAAGAACGAAAGUAGGGAUCGAAGAGUCAGUACGUCCGUCUUUACCUAAAACCCCUU
rnacentral:rRNA from 1 species